UACGAAGGGGGCUAGCGUUGCUCGGAAUUACUGGGCGUAAAGGGCGCGUAGGCGGGUCGUCAAGUUGGGGGUGAAAGCCCGGGGCUCAACCUCGGAAUUGCCUUCAAAACUGGCGACCUAGAGUAUGGCAGAGGUGUGUGGAACUCCGAGUGUAGAGGUGAAAUUCGUAGAUAUUCGGAAGAACACCAGUGGCGAAGGCGACACACUGGGCCAUUACUGACGCUGAGGCGCGAAAGCGUGGGGAGCAAACAGG
rnacentral:rRNA from 1 species